rnacentral:rRNA from 1 species
GAUGAACGCUAGCGGCAGGCUUAAUACAUGCAAGUCGAGGGGCAGCACGGUUAGCAAUAACUGGUGGCGACCGGCGCACGGGUGCGUAACACGUAUACAAUCUACCUUAAACAGGGGGAUAGCCUUUCGAAAGAGAGAUUAAUACCCCGUAAUAAAUUGAACGGCAUCGUUUGAUUUUGAAAGCUCCGGCGGUUUGAGAUGAGUAUGCGUCUGAUUAGCUAGUUGGUGAGGUAACGGCUCACCAAGGCGACGAUCAGUAGGGGAUCUGAGAGGACUAACCCCCACACUGGUACUGAGACACGGACCAGACUCCUACGGAGGCAGCAGUAAGGAAUAUUGGUCAAUGGAGGCAACUCUGAACCAGCCAUGCCGCGUGCAGGAUGACGGCCCUAUGGGUUGUAAAACUGCUUUUAUAUAAGAGAAAACCCUGGUACGUGUACCAGGUUGAUAGUAUUGUAAGAAUAAGCAUCGGGCUAAACUUCGUGCCAGCAGCCGCGGU